rnacentral:rRNA from 1 species
AUUGAACGCUGGCGGCAGGCCUAACACAUGCAAGUCGAACGAGUGGCGGACGGGUGAGUAAUGUCUGGGAAACUGCCCGAUGGAGGGGGAUAACUACUGGAAACGGUAGCUAAUACCGCAUACCAUCGGAUGUGCCCAGAUGGGAUUAGCUUGUAGGUGAGGUAACGGCUCACCUAGGCGACGAUGCCUAGCUGGUCUGAGAGGAUGACCAGGCACACUGGAACGGAGAGACGGUCCAGACUCGUACGGGAGGCAGCAGUGGGGAAGAUGGCACAAUGGGGGCAAUCCUGAUGCAGCCAGGCGGCGGGUAUGAAGAAGGCAUUCGGGUUGUAAAGUACUUUCAGCGGGGAGGCGUUACCCGCAGAAGAAGCACCGGCUAACUCCGUGCCAGCCGCCGCGGUAAUUC